GCGCACACUGAUAUGACUACAGAGGUGGAAACCUGAACAGUUGGGCACAAUAUUCAAGCUUGAUGCUCGAUUGUGAUCAAUAAAAUAAUGAAUAAAAAUCCCCCCCCCACCUUUUAUAAUCCUCCUGAGAGCAAUUACCCCUAUACUCAAUCUCAGCCUUUUCUUCAUAGUAUGGAACUCUAUAGUAAAAUUUUAGAGAGAUCCGUUCACUUAAACACAAGUUAUUGUCAAUGUCUGGAAACUAGAAAAAUGCUUGUUUUUGGAUACUUUUUUGCCCUUAAUUCCUGAAUGUUUGGGGCAAUUACUCCCAAACUCAAUCCCAGCCUUCAUUUUAUGAUAUGGAACUUUUUGGUACAAGUUAUUGUCCACUAUCCCAAAAAUUCUGGGGUUUUUGUCCCUUAUUCAUACCUGUUGAUACAAAAACUCCAAAAAACAAUCCCAACAUUCCUUUUGUGGUAUUGAACCUUCUUGUAAAAUUUCAUAGAGAUCCAUUUACUUAAACUAAAGUUAUUGUUUGGAACCAAAUGUGUCCUCGGACGACGAUGACAACA
rnacentral:lncRNA from 1 species